rnacentral:misc_RNA from 1 species
GAUGAAGAACGUAGCGAAAUGCGAUACUUGGUGUGAAUUGCAGAAUCCCGUGAACCAUCGAGUCUUUGAACGCAAGUUGCGCCCGAAGCCAUUAGGCCGAGGGCACGCCUGCCUGGGCGUCACACGUCGUUGCCCCCCCAUCUACUCCUUCGGGAUUGCGGGGGGCGGAUGAUGGCCUCUCGUGCGCCUCGUCGCGCGGUUGGCCUAAAUGCCAAGUCCUCGGCGACGCACGCCACGACAAUCGGUGGUUGCGAAACCUCGGUUGCCUGUCGUGUGCGGUCGUCGCGCAUCGAGGGCUCGAAAAAAUUGCCGGGCUUCGGCUCGACUUUCAACGCGACCCCAGGUCAGGCGGGGUUACCCGCUGAAUUUUAGCAUAUCAAUAAGCGGAGGA